CGCCUCCGCCCCCGCCCGUCGACGACGCGGCCUAAGCGAGUGGCGCGCGUUUACACAAUUCGUUGGCUUGGAGUGCGGAUGGCGCGACGCUCUUUCGUGAAGCGUCUUCUUGUGACGAAGAUCGACGCGCGAACACGUAUCGACAAUUGUUUUUAACACGUCUUCAAACUCAGCUCCGUGAGACUUAGCGGGUUUUAAAACAUUGCAAGUAACGUCCUAUAAUACUACGAGUACACUUAACCAAUGUUUACGUUAGACACUUCGAACUGAGAUUGGAGUGACGAACGGACAGUGACAUAUGGCAAGGAAAAUAUUUAAGUAAAUUACUUUACGGAUAAAUAAAUCAGAAUGAGUAAACGGCGACAAAAAGAUUUUAAAUUUAAAUUUUAUUUUUUAUUUUUUGAUGUGAACUAAUCUCAAAAAGUGUCGGCUAGUGCUAGUGCCUGAUACGAUAUCUGAAGAAGGCGCGACGGAAUUGUGCCUAAAGAAUUUAAAAAAAAAACUUUACACAAAUAAUAAUUUACACUUAGUUAAAAGUUCAGUUCGUGACAUUCAGUCAGCAGAAUAAAUCGAACAAAGAUGACACUUCUGUUAUUCAACAGCUCUGUGAUCACGACGUGCUGGAUGUGUGAUGGUUAAAAAAAAUCGACCGCGUCCAACCUGUUGCACGGAGACAUUUGUCCGCAUCGUGGGACUACGGCGCUGUUUACGUGAUGCCUUAGGUGGACUAACCUUGAGGCUGUACAAGUAAGUUAUCUGGAUAUAUUACUCCCACACGUGACGCAACUGGGAAUCCGUCGUUGGCAUCUUAAGUUUCUUCCAACCCCAGGUUUUUACCCUCGCAUAAACACCUAGGCUACCAGCAUAGGUAGGGAAAACAAAUCGUGCAACCAAAGUCUACCAUCAUCAAAGCGACUUUGACGCCGGAACAGACAGUAUAUAUCUAUCUCUUUCUCGCUGUUUAAAAUAGAAUAUGAAAAUAUCUCGUAGGUUAUAGCUUACGUCAUCGAACAUAUUAGUAUCGAAUUAAGUAAGAUGCCACUAGCGUAAAAUGUCAAAAUAUAAAUAGAAAUAAAAGACAUCUGAUUUUUAAUAAGCUAUACGAAAUUCGUAAUUUGUAUGACUUUGUUUCUUUAUGUGACUGACUGCAUCAGCUAGUGGUAAGUAAACUAUUACGUCAAUUAAUUGAAACUAGAGGUCCCGCAGUAGUCGAAAUUCGACUAUAAUUAAUUGGAAUUGUAAGUUUGUACACUAUUAUGAUUGUAUUUUAUACUUCUAUAAUCACAAAUUUCGGCAAGACUACACUAUAAAAAAUAUUAACAAAGACAAACAAUAUUUAAUCUCAAUUAGACAAAAGACGUCAAGAACAAAGGUUUGACAAUAAAUAGUAUGCAUGCAUGUGUGCGUCAAAUACAUGGUACGUAGUGUGCGUAAUGUUUUCUUUAUUGAUUUAAUGUAUCUUUUAUGCAUUAUUAAAAAAAAAAAUUAGCAUUGUGCACUUCUUCUCUAUAUUCUCUAUAAGUGUGGAAAAUUUCAUACUUCACCGUACGCGCAAUUUUCGUAAAAAGGGAUACAAAGUUUUUGCUUCACGUAUUAAUAUAUAGAUUAAAACCACAGAGAAACACGAACGGUAUGUUGUCAACACAUUUUUCUGAAACAAACAGCUUCCUCUCCAGAUAACAGCGUAGCUAUUUAAAACCGUUCAAGAAUUGACGACACAACUAUUUUUUAAGUAUCAAAACUAUUAACUUAUCUAUACUAACGAUUUUGUGCAGCAUUAACCCGCGCCUUUUAGAUAAAAACAAAAGAAAAACACACAAAACGUAAUUUGGAAAUUUCCCCGGCCCUUGCUACGUAGACCGCUCAAAUUAUAUAUAAAAAAUUUGUUGAAAACUCUUUAUAUUGAUGGUUACGUCGAACAGGUUUUCUAAAGACCGGAUCGACUUCUCUGUGGCAAUGCGCACACACCUUAAUUUACCAUUUAAGAACGCCAAUUCGAAGCUGCCUUCAACGAAAACAAUUCUGACAUUUAAGAAACUUUAUUUUGAUUGUACGUUCAACUAAAGCAAUAUCCAAUAACGCGGCAGCGCCCUUAAAACAAGAUUUCUACUGCAAAAAAUUAUAAAGGACAGCUUAACAAAGAGUUAGGUCGUGCAGGUCGCGUCGGGCAUUGAUCGAAUAUAACAAAAAAAAAAAAAACGCAAAAUCAUCAUCGAUGCAAAAACAUCGUGACUCAUAUUUUUAUACCUUCGCUGUGGCUAAUAAAGGAAAAUUGUUGUUGGCAACACUAACAAGUGUGCCGGUCGAACUUAGCUACCUGUCAUUUGUCAUUUCGCGUGUGACACAGAGGACGUUCACACCAACUGAAAAUGAAAUAUAUAUAAUUUGCACAUCGCAAAUUGUUUACUAUGACGUAUGAAUCAGAAUUAAUGUCCUUUUGUUUUCGUAGCUCGACCUUGUUCGAACACUCACAUAAAUGACAUCGGAAUGAACCUUUUGUGUUUUUGUGGGCAUUUUUUUGUUGUGUCAGUCAUUGUUGGUUCGUUAGUGAUGCAAAUAUGUACGUUUUGCAAAAAAAAAAAAAAACUAAGAAGCAAACGGAUUCCAACUAGUAUAAACAGUUGACCGUGACAAGGUCGCGAGGAUUUUGAACUUGGAGAUAUCAGAAAAAAAUUGAAAAAUUUGAAUGUUGCAUUCGACUCGGCUGAUUGAUGGGAUCCCUUUGCACGCGAUUGAAUCUUUUGUUAAUUUUUUUACCGUCAAUCCAUUCACGUUGUUUUUUUCUUCUUAUUGUUUUAGUUUCGAGAAGUUUUUUUGUUUUAACCGCAGAUCUUAAAUUCAGAUACAACAUCUCGUGGUCAGGGCAACGGAUAAUUGUAAUGAAGCGUAAUUUUACGUUUACCGAUCCGGAUAAUCUCGACAAACGGGCUAAAUGAAUUUACAAGAAAAACAACCUAUAAUUACGAAGCAUCUUUCGAAUAUCGAAAUUAUUUCAACAUUUUCGUAAAAUGAUCAUUUAAGUGAAGCAUUGAUUUACGAAUAUCAGGUGUAACGAAACUAUGGAGGGUCGAAGCAUGGAGUAGGUACCAUGUCAGUGUAUUAAAAAGCGUCCGCUGAAAGGGAGCAAAUUAAUGUGGCGCCAUACUUAGUAAAUUGUUUUUUUUUAAAACAGCGUCAUGAACUACCACACUUCAAUUCCAUCCAGUACACUUCACUCUAUUCAAAAUUGCUAUAUUCAUAUAAUUUCCACUUCCAAUGACUCUUCCAACAAUAAUUUUUUGUUUACAUGUAAACACUUUUUCAACACGUCCCUUAAAUAAGAUGAUAUUCCUUACCUCUACCUACCAGAAACUAAACCAACCAUUCCUUUUUUGCUUCAACUAUCUAUCAGCUUGAAAAUCGAGAGCCACGUCUUCACGCAGAAUUAAAUUACUAAAUGACUAGAUAGUGCAGUUUCGUAGAAAACAACCAUGCAUGUAUGUACUAUAUUAACAUAUGAGACUGUCAGCGCAAAAGUGGUCUAACCCACAAUUUUUUAUAUUCGCGUUUAUUUAUUUAAAAUAUAAUACAUUUUAAUGCAAAACCGGCCUAUCCCUAGUCUCACCCAUAGAGGACAGAUGGCUUUGUAAACAUUAUUUUUGUACGUAUUGUUUUUGCCUACGAAGCAGUGUAAAAGUUAAUUCCAACCUCCAAUCUCCAUACUAACUAUGAUAAGCUUAGGACACUUUGGCGCUGACUGCCUCAUGUAUCCUAACGCCCCCGAUAUCCGCUAUGCAUAAUCGUGACACGGCCUUACAGUAUUGUCUCGGCGCGUGUGACUCAAUCCCUUGUACUUAUCACAAUACCUGUCUUUGUGCAUUGUCCCACGGACCUUAACGUUACAUAUUUUGUAAUUAGUCAACUAUUUUCAACUGAAUCACCCAUUCUCAUUUAGGAGUAUCACGACACAAGGCAACAUGUAGAUAAUUUAAAUCGACGAAAGAGUUUCAGUGUAUUUUGAUAAUUAAUAUUAAUUUAAUGAAACCUCCUUGGUUGAGCGGACUGUUUCUGUGUGGUUUUGAUGCCAAUUUAAAACCAAGAUGCCAAAGAAGUAAGUACAAUUUCGCGCCAUUUUUACUGUCGCUUUUGUAAUUAAAAUAUCAAUUGCCAAAACUAUACAAACGAAUACAUUAAGUGGCGAUUUGGUUCAAUUAUGUUCAUGUCUUUACUAUACUAAUAAACCAUAAUAAUAUUUACUUGCUUUAUUUAAAAAGCUAAAGUGCUCGAUCUUAGACCAGACACAAAAAGUUAAAUUAAAAAAAAAA